UGAAACAUUUUCCACAAAGAGGACAUUCAAAUGGUUUCUCUCCUGUGUGAGUCCUCUGGUGUAUCACCAGGCUGGAAUUCUGAUUGAAAGUUUUCUCACAAUCAGGACAUUCAAAGAGUUUUUCUCCUGUGUGAGUCCUCUGGUGUAUCACCAUAUUGGAAUUCUGACUGAAACUUUUGCUACAAACAGGACACUCAUAUGGUUUCUCUCCUGUGUGAGUCCUCUGGUGUGUCACCAGGCUGGAAGUCUGACUGAAACCUUUCCCACAGACAGGACAUUCAAAAGGUUUAUAUCCUGUGUGUAUCCUCUGGUGCCUAAUAAGCUGGUAUUUUCUAAUGAAACUUUUCCCACAAUCAGGGCAUUCAAAGUGUUUCCCUCCUGUGUGAGUCCUCUGGUGUAUCUCCAGGUUGGAACUUUGACUGAAACCUUUUUCACAAUAAGGACAUUCAAAGUGUUUCUCUGCUGUGUGAGUUCUUUUGUGUGUCACCAGGCUGGAAUUGUGAGUGAAACGUUUUUCACAAUCUGGACAUUCAAAAGGUUUCUCUCCUGUGUGAGUCCUCUGGUGGGUCACCAGGCUGUAAUUGUGACUGAAACUUUUCCCAC